AUUGAACGCUGGCGGCAGGCCUAACACAUGCAAGUCGAGCGGAUGAGAAGAGCUUGCUCUUCGAUUCAGCGGCGGACGGGUGAGUAAUGCCUAGGAAUCUGCCUGGUAGUGGGGGACAACGUUUCGAAAGGAACGCUAAUACCGCAUACGUCCUACGGGAGAAAGCAGGGGACCUUCGGGCCUUGCGCUAUCAGAUGAGCCUAGGUCGGAUUAGCUAGUUGGUGAGGUAAUGGCUCACCAAGGCGACGAUCCGUAACUGGUCUGAGAGGAUGAUCAGUCACACUGGAACUGAGACACGGUCCAGACUCCUACGGGAGGCAGCAGUGGGGAAUAUUGGACAAUGGGCGAAAGCCUGAUCCAGCCAUGCCGCGUGUGUGAAGAAGGUCUUCGGAUUGUAAAGCACUUUAAGUUGGGAGGGAGGGCAGUAAGUUAAUACCUCGCUGUUUUGACGUUACCGACAGAAUAAGCACCGGCUAACUCUGUGCCAGCCGCCGCAGUAA
rnacentral:rRNA from 1 species